ACGGGGACCCGCACAAGCAGCGGAGCGUGUGGUUUAAUUCGAUGCUACACGAAGAACCUUACCAGGGUUUGACAUGCAAGUGGUAGGAAUCUGAAAGGGACCGACCUUCGGGAGCUUGCACAGGUGCUGCAUGGCCGUCGUCAGCUCGUGUCGUGAGAUGUUCGGUUAAGUCCGCUAACGAGCGCAACCCUCACUGUGUGUUAUAUGUGUCACACGGGACUGCCGGUUUUAAGCCGGAGGAAGGUGGGGAUGACGUCAAGUCAGCAUGGCCUUUAUAUCCUGGGCUACACACACGCUACAAUGGUCGGUACAAUAGGUUGCCAAGCCGCGAGGCGGAGCCAAUCCACAAAGCCGGCCUCAGUUCAGAUUGUAGGCUGCAACUCGCCUGCAUGAAGAUGGAGUUGCUAGUAACCGCAGGUCAGCAAUACUGCGGUGAAUACGUUCCCGGGUCUU
rnacentral:rRNA from 1 species